rnacentral:misc_RNA from 2 species
AACGCACAUUGCGCCCGCCAGUAUUCUGGCGGGCAUGCCUGUUCGAGCGUCAUUUCAACCAUCAAGCCCCGCGCUUGUGUUGGGGACCUGCGGCUGCCGCAGGCCCUGAAAACCAGUGGCGGGCUCGCUGUCACACCGGGCGUAGUAGAUUUUAUCUCGCUCAGGGCGUGCUGCGGGUUCCGGCCGUUAAAAAGCCUUUUUUACCCAAGGUUGACCUCGGAUCAGGUAGGAAUACCCGCUGAACUUAA